GAUGAACGCUGGCGGCGUGCCUAAUACAUGCAAGUCGAGCGAACAGACGAGGAGCUUGCUCCUCUGACGUUAGCGGCGGACGGGUGAGUAACACGUGGAUAACCUACCUAUAAGACUGGGAUAACUUCGGGAAACCGGAGCUAAUACCGGAUAAUAUAUUGAACCGCAUGGUUCAAUAGUGAAAGACGGUUUUGCUGUCACUUAUAGAUGGAUCCGCGCCGCAUUAGCUAGUUGGUAAGGUAACGGCUUACCAAGGCAACGAUGCGUAGCCGACCUGAGAGGGUGAUCGGCCACACUGGAGCUGAGACACGGUCCAGACUCCUACGGGAGGCAGCAGUAGGGUAUCUUCCGCAAUGGGCGAAAGCCUGACGGAGCAACGCCGCGUGAGUGAUGAAGGUCUUCGGAUCGUAAAACUCUGUUAUUAGGGAAGAACAAAUGUGUAAGUAACUAUGCACGUCUUGACGGUACCUAAUCAGAAAGCCACGGCUAACUACGUG
rnacentral:rRNA from 1 species